rnacentral:rRNA from 1 species
UACGGAGGGUGCAAACGUUGCUCGGAAUUAUUGGGCGUAAAGCGCACGUAGGCGGUCUAGCAAGUCGGGUGUGAAAGCCCUCAGCUUAACUGAGGAAGUGCAUUCGAAACUACUAGGCUUGAGUACUGAAGAGGACGACGGAAUUCCCGGUGUAGAGGUGAAAUUCGUAGAUAUGCCAUAGAACACCAAUUGCGAAGGCAGCUGGCUAGACCUGGAUUGACGCUGAGGCACGAAAGCGUGGGGAGCGAACAGG